GCCCGGGUGGUGAAGUUGGUAGACACAGCGGACUUAAAAUCCGCCGCCUCUCGCAAGAGGGCAUACGGGUUCGAUCCCCGUCCCGGGCACCA
rnacentral:tRNA from 2 species